rnacentral:rRNA from 1 species
UACGUAGGGUGCAAGCGUUGUCCGGAAUUAUUGGGCGUAAAGAGCUCGUAGGCGGUCUGUUGCGUCGGCUGUGAAAACCCGGGGCUCAACCCCAGGCCUGCAGCCGAUACGGGCAGACUAGAGUUCGGCAGGGGAGACUGGAAUUCCUGGUGUAGCGGUGAAAUGCGCAGAUAUCAGGAAGAACACCAACGGCGAAGGCAGCUCGCUGGGACGGAACUGACGCUGAGGCGCGAAAGCGUGGGGAGCGAACAGG